rnacentral:rRNA from 1 species
UACGUAGGGUGCGAGCGUUAAUCGGAAUUACUGGGCGUAAAGCGUGCGCAGGCGGUUUUGUAAGCCAGGUGUGAAAGCCCCGGGCUCAACCUGGGAAUUGCGAUGGAGACUGCAAGGCUUGAAUCUGGCAGAGGGGGGUAGAAUUCCACGUGUAGCAGUGAAAUGCGUAGAGAUGUGGAGGAACACCGAUGGCGAAGGCAGCCCCCUGGGUCAAGAUUGACGCUCAUGCACGAAAGCGUGGGGAGCAAACAGG